GAGGAAGGCGGCUGCAUCAGGGAACAAGCUAUCUCAAAAGGCUGUGGCCCGUCGUCAUCGUCCUAGUCUUGUCGUCCCUGUACCGUCCCGAGUAUCCCAGUCCUGCCCCUCCAAGGUCCCUCCCCUUCUGCCCUGGUGACCCCAGUUCCCGUGGCAUAGGAGCGGGCGGUCAUGCACCUCACUAAUGCUUAGCAGACCGGGAGGAAGGACUGGAGCUGUGUUCCCAUUCCACAGGACCUGUUCUGGCCCAACCCUUCCCAUGGCCUGCCCAACCUUCUCCUCCUUGUGACUGGUGACCUGCUUUGAUGGGAGCCUAUGUACCUGAGGGUUACCUAUAAAACUGCUAGAGUCACAGAAGACGGUACAUCAGGAGCAACCCACAGAUGUGGAGGUGAGGGGCAGGCGGAAGUGCUAACACAGGUGGCCUUCCUGCUCCCCACUGCCCUAAGGAGAACCCAGACCUCUCCACGUGCUCAAGAGCUAAUGUGACCCGGGUGCCAUGGUGCAUGCCUGCAAUGCCAACUACUCAGGAAGGAUCAAGAAGUUCAAGACCAGGCUGGACACCUGAGUUAGACCUUGUCGCACAAUUAAAAAUUAAAAGGGCUGUGGUUGUAGUACAGUGUGAACAUCCUGAACUCAAAUCCUUUGUCCCCUCCACCCCAAAAGAGAGAGAGAAAAGGAGAGGAGGGGAGGGAAAGCCAAUCUAUUCAUCACACUGUAUCACGAACAGAGAAUGCUGUCUCCCUGGCCAGCAGUGAGCUUCCGAGGGUAGGCACAAUGCAGGUGCUCAAUGGUUAUCUCUGUACCUCUGUAUUCAUGAAUUACGAUACUCAUGAACACAUCUUGGAGUCUUCCUGCCUCUUGAUUUUACUGCCCUUACUAUCUUAAUGUUAAUUGCUUCAUAAGUUCAAUUCUUUCCCAAUUCAUAAAGCCCAUUUUCUGUGGGCGUGGUAGCACAUCCUGUAGUCCCAGCACUGUUAAGGCUGAAGCAGUAGGAUUACUGAGUUCAGAGUGAGCUGGGGCUACCUACUGAGUUCAGGACCAACCUGGACUACACAGUGAGACCCUGCCUCAAAGAAGAAAAGGUGACUUCCUACUCUAUCCUCACCACUUCACAACAAACACUGUCCAAGCCUCUGUGCCUCAGGCACUACGCCUUGUGUGAUGACUACGGACUCCAUUCUUCAGGCAGAUAUUACGGACUAACUGGCAGUUGCAAGUGGAAAGGAAAUGCUAUAAUGGAAAACCAUAAACACAAGUUGAUUCAGAGACUUUCAGUAAUAGUAAUAACUGCAGCAUUUACUGUAGAAAUGAAACUAUACUGAAUGCUUUACAUAUAUAAUCUUUGUUAUCUUUACAACUCAAUGAACAAAGUGGGGGAUCGAGGCCAGCAAGGUUAAGUCACCUGUCCAACUACACAAGUCACGAGGAUUGAUCAGGAUUAGAGUCCGCUAAAGGAGAUAUUUUCUGGUAGAAAAGGCACCUCAUGUAGGAGGUAUGAAUGGAAUAUAUGAAUGGAAAAUAGAUCUCUCUCUCUCUAAUAAAAGUGUGAAAUGUAACAUGAGAUCAACCCUCUUUGUGUCCUUGUCCUGUG
ensembl:lncRNA